rnacentral:sRNA from 1 species
UCUACCUUAAAAAGAAGCAUAAAUUUUGGACAUGCAUGAAACAGUUGAAUCAUAGAUAAGUGAAUGGGUUUGAGUUGAAAUCUUAUUACUACACAAUCAAAUCUAAAUUUAACUUUCCAGCAUCCAUCUUAGAGGUAUGCGAUUCAGAGAUUUCUUCAGGUUGUUGAUGCAUCGAUUCUGAUUUCUUUAGUACAAGGAGCAAAAUAACGUUCUGUUCUGACGCGUAGGCAUCUGCUAUGUAUUCGGCUUGCUAGAUCUUCCAGGGAGGAAUGGCUACCGGAAGCACUCACUGGGAUAUUCCGCAUGAGUGGGCUAGUAGGAGCCAGGAAAACCCGAUGUUUCUAUCAAUUGCAUGCAAUCGUAAACUUAGUAAGUUGGGUUUUAUGUAAAGUCUAUUGAAGAUCAAGGAUCAGAGAUUCUAUCCUACAAGAUGGAAAGAAUGAGACUUGAGCGUUGAAAGAGGUAUUUGCCGAUAAGACAGCAACUUAUCUCGGUAAAGAUGCUUCAACUUCAAUUUAUUGUAAGAUUCAUCUUAUUUUGUAAUCUAUACAGUAACUAAACUAGAUGCGUUGGGACUUUCGCACUUAAAA